GGCGAGAUGGCCGAGCGGUCUAAGGCGCUGUGUUAAGGUUCUUCACCUCGGAUCUCCGAGGCUGACGUUCCCUCCGCAGUCUUCGGACGUGGGUUCGAAUCCCACUCUCGUCA
rfam:Trichosporon asahii var. asahii CBS 8904 unplaced genomic scaffold scaffold00066, whole genome shotgun sequence.